rnacentral:misc_RNA from 1 species
GGACCUAGCUUACUCAUUGUGUAUCAUCUAAUUAUAGCCAUGUGAUCAACAGAAGGCCUGAUCACUCAUAUAUAGUGCCAUUCCAGUCAAGUCUUUUUCAGAUUAAUCAAAAAAACAUAAUAAACACGGCCCCUAUGCAUGAAAAACUGCUAACUUUCAUUGCAAAUAAAAUUAAUGUCAGCAUUGUAAUUCAACUUUCAAUCUCCACCUUAUCCUUUUGUUUUUAACUAAACUCUUUUUUCUCAUAACCAUGCAGAAAUUUCCAAUCAACCACUCCAAACCUGAGUCAAUCAUCAGCCUGCACCUUUUAUUAAAUUUUACAUGAAGAAGAAAACAACAUAUCUACAAUUCUUUUUUUUUUCCCAUCAAAUUUUUAUCUCAGUUCUUAUUUUCCUUUUUCUUUGCUACCAUUGUGAGAAAAUAGAUCAGAAGAAGAAUAUUGAGAAUGAU